GUUAGCAGCCAUGUCCGAGGCUACCGGAGUGGUCAAGCAGAUGAGGCCUGAGGAAUAGCCAUGGGAUUAAAAGCUCCAAGGUCCCACUGGCCACUCCUUUCCUGUGUGGUCCUGGCCAUGCCUGUCCCCUCCUGGGGCUCGGUUUCCCUGUCAUUUCAACAAGGGAGCUGGAUGGGAUGCUCCACGAGACUGCCAUCUUUAUUCUCUUCACCUCCCGCAGAGGAAAAUUAGCCAGAACCAAACUAACCAGGUUCCAGCAAAGGUCACCCAUGCCAAGAGGAGCCGCGGGGCUAGCCAGCAAGAGCACCGGCCUCGGAGCUCAUGGAGGGGCCUGGGCAGGCCGCCAGCCCUCUCCAGUGCUCAUCUGCGAACCGGUGAUGUUGCCUGGCUGUUCUUAUGCGAGCUCUACGAUCUCAGUGUUACACCAAGGCUCCUGAUGAAGGCCACCGAGGCUCCUGAUGUGCCGGGGCGGGUCUUCAGGUCCUGCUGCCCACUGCAGAUGACCUGCCAACCUUCUCGUAAUUUCUACGUGAAUCCACCUGUCUUCACUCGUAUGGACACAGCUCCCGCCACAAGCCACCACUGUUUCUGUAGCAGCCCCAGAGGGUCUCCCACCUCCAGGUUCCCUCUCCACACCCCUGGCCCAGUUCUGCUCCUUUCCAAGCCGUUCACCACAGAACAACCCUGAAUGUGACCGUGUUGCUCCUUUACUUAAAAUCCUAGGGGCCCUCUUACCUCCAGAUGGCUCUUGGGACCUACCCAGACUCUGGGGCACGCCUUCAGAGUCCCUACAGGGGCAGGCCACACCUGUCUCUCCAUACUGUCCCACCUCCUGCCCACACUAGCCGAGAAGGCCGACCCCACGGCCAUCCUCCCUUUCCUCCAAAGUCCUGUGUCCACUGCCCUGGGUCUCAGCACAGACUCUUCAUUCUUGGUUUGGGCUCCCAGUCUUACUUCCUGUCACUUCAUGUCUCAGUUGAGGGAAGGUUCCCUGAUACCCCCGCAUCCAGAACCACACCAAGCAUGGGUCACACUGGUCCUUUAUCACCUCUUAGCUUGUCUUCCUCCUGCGCCCGCACUCUCCAUCUGUGGGGGGCCCUGGGCAUCCUGUUGACCUUUGUAUACCCCCUGGCCAACGCUGAGCUGGGGCUCAGUAAAGAGAAGCCAGGGGCGGUGGUGCCAGCAACUCAGGAGGCUGAGAAGGAGGAUCGCAAGUUUGAGUCCAGCCUGGGCAACUUAGUGAGACCCUGGGUCUAAAUGAAAAAUUUGAAAAGCUCAGUGGUAGAGCACCCCUGGGUUCA